GUAGGUGGCAAGCGUUGUCCGGAAUUAUUGGGCGUAAAGCGCGCGCAGGCGGUUCUUUAAGUCUGAUGUGAGAGCCCACGGCUCAACCGUGGAGGGUCAUUGGAAACUGGAGAACUUGAGUACAGAAGAGGAAAGCGGAAUUCCACGUGUAGCGGUGAAAUGCGUAGAGAUGUGGAGGAACACCAGUGGCGAAGGCGGCUUUCUGGUCUGUAACUGACGCUGAGGCGCGAAAGCGUGGGGGAGCAAACAGGAUUAGAUACCCUGGUAGUCCACGCCGUAAACGAUGAGUGCUAAGUGUUAGGGGGUUUCCGCCCCUUAGUGCUGCAGCUAACGCAUUAAGCACUCCCGCCUGGGAGUACGGCCGCAAGGCUG
rnacentral:rRNA from 1 species